AACAACAAAGCGUGGAUCAUUUCUCUCUUCUUUUCUAUCUAUUGUAUUCAUUUCAUUAAGGAUGGCAAAGUGUGCUACCAUUUUUACAGUGCUGUUGCUUCUCUCUAUGUUUGCCUCCCUCUCCCAGGGGCGCACCACUAGAGUGGUGAUGGCAGAGGAGAUGAAACUUGGGGUGAGUAGAGUGAUCUGCCCAGCAUGCGUUUGCUGUGAACCAGCCGCCAAUUCCAACACCUGUUGUAGUUGCUGCGCAACCCCAAUUGAAUCACAGACUUCUAAUCCCUGAGGCCACCAUAUAAUCUCUUCCGUUUCUCUUUUAUUUGCUUAUAAAAUAAAUAAUGGUGUUAUUAUAACAUCACUUACAUUCUAAAUCUAUUACUGUGGAUUAUCUGAAUGUAUCUUAAAAUAAGGACGUAUAAUUUAUACUGUUCGUAUUUGUCAUGUUAUAUCAAAAACUUAGUGAAUUUA